rnacentral:lncRNA from 1 species
UUCUCGAAAAAAAAAAAAAAGAAAAAGAACGAAUAAAUUUUCACGUUAUAUUACGAGAUAAAUAAAUAUUGCUCGGUCAGAUUCAUUCCCCUUGAAAAGCACGGCUUCAUUUAGAUUAUCGAAAGCAAUAAUUAUAUGGUCGCCGUUUAUAAAUCAAAUUAAUGAAACGACAGCGAUAAAUCUAAAUCUUUUUAGCCGAUGGUGGUAGAGAGCCGGAGGUGGUCAGUUAAGAAGUUAAAUAACCACCAGAUUAUUAACUCGAUUAAUUAUUAUUAACCCUCCUCCCCCUCCUCCCCCCCGCCGAAACUUGUUGUACUUUGAACGAUAUAAAUCGGGUAAACACACGGCCGGGGAGGAACUUUUUUAACUUCGUCCUUAGAUAGAUAUUAUCUCGACAGGGCAUUACUUUCGCGAUACAACGAGCAAGCUUUUCCAAUUAACUUCCAUCUUAUAAAUAUUCAUGCCUCGAAUUCGCGCUCACGCCCAAACGUAAAUCCAGUUUCUUUUCCUUGCUAAAAUCCUCAUUCCCCCUCCCUCCUCCUUUAUUUUUUUCUUUUCUUAAACUUUAAUUUUCAAACUCGAAUUCGUUCCACUUUCUUUCCUAAUUAAAAAUCCGAUUUGAUUCGAUCAAGUGUUAUAUUUCGCGACAACGGAACAAGAUUUCGAAACAAGAUUUCGAUUUUUUCUUAGAAAGAAUAUCUGCGUAAAGAAGAAGAUACCUUUGGAAAAUAAAAAUUCUCGUUAUCUUUUAUAGAAAUAAAAUGCAAACAACAAACACGCAAUAUUUUAAUAUUUCUUUAUUAUUAAAAUAAGAUUAUUGUAUUCUCAAUUUAUAAUAUAAAAUCGAGAAAAGAAAGGAGAAAAAUAAGAAUCGAAAUGCUACAAACGUUACACUUAAAUUCACUUUUGUUUAUGCCUCGAACGACAACAUUAAUACGCGAGACAAGAGACGACGCUUGACAAAAGUCAACAAACAUUCGGUGUGACCGUGGAACGAGUCAUUUCUCGCCGAUACGGCAGAGGGGAAGGUAGUAUACACGGCGAGCACGAGCAUCGAGCACCAUUAACGACGCAUCAGUUUCUCAGGCACGCAACUUUUUCCAACUUUUACUAUCCCGUGAAAUUGUCGUUUCCACGAGACGUAGACUUUUCAAAAGGAGCAAAGAACAAUCCGUAGAUUUUAAUGGUCGUAAUGUCUCCGUUGUUUCGCCCAGCGUGUGUGUGUGUAUGUGUGUGUGUGUGUUGGAAAAAAUCCCCCCUCUCCGUGGGGAUCCAUUCGAAUGGGAAGGAAAAGGAAGGAAGAAGGAACGAAAGAUCUAUGUCUAUUUUGUAACGCCUAGUAUCACGAAAAUCGUCACCUCGGAUAAUUAAUUUUUCGAGUUGAAAAUUGCUCAACAAAAUUGAGAAGAGAGGAAAAGAGUUUGAGAAAUUUGAGUUAAGAAAAAUAUCCCUCGACGAAAAAAGAUAACAUCCUUUAUCUCAGGAGGGAUAAUGUGGAAGGAUGUGGCGAUGUCUCGAAGGAAGCGCGUGAAAGAAACGUUCGUCGCAGUUUGGCAAAUAUUUUUAAGCCGCUUAAGGAUUUAUUUACGCGCGGGGAAGGACGAGCGGAGGAAAAACCGUUCCGCUUCAGCAAUCUGGACGACCUUUCCAUCUUUCCACCCGAAAUUAACGACGAUAAUUAGUGUUUGGAACGGAUCAAUCGAGAAACAUUUUUCUCGCGAGUGGAUCAUUGGAACGUGUAUUCCAUUUGCGAGGAAUAAUAUAUAAUCUGUUUACGAGAAUUUUAGAAUACGUUCGAGACAACAGAGUGCUCUGCUCUCCGUAUCUUUCACCGUUAUUUUUUCCCCCACCUUUUCUCCCUCUCCCUCUCUCUCUCUCUCUCUCGCCGGCCACGUGUUGUCGGCCGUUAGAAACGGCGAUUCCCUUUCGUGAGGGAGCAUCGGACGACCGAAAACCGCUUUUGAAAACGAACUUCUUGUCUCUCGGUUGCUUCGUGCCUUAACCAACUUGGUACCAAAGGCUAUUUUCACCAACGAACUCGUAACCCGAUACACAUCGAGCGAGGAGGAGAGUUUGUUUCGGUGUUUCUGUGCAGUUAGAAAAUCACUGUGAAAUGGCCUUCGGGUUUCCUUUUAAUGAAACGCCCAACUUCCGACUUGUUAAUGGGACCUCUCCCUCCCCUCUUCUUUCCUCCUCGCUCUGUUCAAAACAGAACAGCGAUUGCUCUUCGCUUUUUCUUUCCGAGAUUUAAUCCAACAUUUUUCCAAAGGAAAUAUUAAUGUUUAAUUAUUGAAAGAAGAGGAGGAGGAGAGGAAGGAGGGGGAGAAGGAUACGGGAAAUUAACGGCACGCAAGGCGUUUGAAAAAGAUGUUUAGUCGUGUAAAAGCGUUAAUUCUCUCUCUCUCUCUCUCUCUCUCUCUCUCUCUCUCUCUCUCUCUCUCUCUCUCUUUUUCAAAGAUUUCGAAGAUUUUUAAUAUCUUUCGAAUUAUUUGUUACGUAAAUUUUUUAUAAAAUACUUUUUGUACGUUUGUGAAAUAAUAUCAACUUUCUUUUGUAUGAAUAAACUUUAAUUAAUUGAUCGAUCCGAGAUAAUUUUUCAGCGAUAAAAAUUGGUUAAAAAAAAAAGAAAAAAAGGAAAGAAAAGAGAGAAAUUUGUUUGUAUUUAACUCGCGAAGAAAUUCGUCAUGCAUAAAUAAAACGCAAUGAAAUUAUUCAUUUAAUUUUCCCCGCUGUUAUUACUGAAACGUAGCGAAUACAUUAGAGAGAUUUGAAUACAUUUUGAAGAGGAGAAUCUUAAUCACCGAAUUGCAUAAUAUCGAGGAAAUGGUAGAAAGGCGGCUUUAAUAUCUUGCCGAGGUAAAAUCUCAUUAUUAUGGUUUUGAAAAAUGUGAAGUGAAAAGAGGAAUUAAAAUUUCCAGAUAGACAAAA